ACUAAGCGUACACGGUGGAUGCCCUGGCAGUCAGAGGCGAUGAAGGACGUGCUAAUCUGCGAUAAGCGUCGGUGAGGUGAUAUGAACCGUUAUAACCGGCGAUUUCCGAAUGGGGAAACCCAGUGUGUUUCGACACACUAUCAUUAACUGAAUCCAUAAGUUAAUGAGGCGAACCGGGGGAACUGAAACAUCUAAGUACCCCGAGGAAAAGAAAUCAACCGAGAUUCCCCCAGUAGCGGCGAGCGAACGGGGAGGAGCCCAGAGCCUGAAUCAGUGUGUGUGUUAGUGGAAGCGUCUGGAAAGGCGCGCGAUACAGGGUGACAGCCCCGUACACAAAAAUGCACAUGCUGUGAGCUCGAUGAGUAGGGCGGGACACGUGGUAUCCUGUCUGAAUAUGGGGGGACCAUCCUCCAAGGCUAAAUACUCCUGACUGACCGAUAGUGAACCAGUACCGUGAGGGAAAGGCGAAAAGAACCCCGGCGAGGGGAGUGAAAAAGAACCUGAAACCGUGUACGUACAAGCAGUGGGAGCCUCUUAAUGGGGUGACUGCGUACCUUUUGUAUAAUGGGUCAGCGACUUAUAUUCUGUAGCAAGGUUAACCGAAUAGGGGAGCCGAAGGGAAACCGAGUCUUAACUGGGCGUUAAGUUGCAGGGUAUAGACCCGAAACCCGGUGAUCUAGCCAUGGGCAGGUUGAAGGUUGGGUAACACUAACUGGAGGACCGAACCGACUAAUGUUGAAAAAUUAGCGGAUGACUUGUGGCUGGGGGUGAAAGGCCAAUCAAACCGGGAGAUAGCUGGUUCUCCCCGAAAGCUAUUUAGGUAGCGCCUCGUGAAUUCAUCUCCGGGGGUAGAGCACUGUUUCGGCAAGGGGGUCAUCCCGACUUACCAACCCGAUGCAAACUGCGAAUACCGGAGAAUGUUAUCACGGGAGACACACGGCGGGUGCUAACGUCCGUCGUGAAGAGGGAAACAACCCAGACCGCCAGCUAAGGUCCCAAAGUCAUGGUUAAGUGGGAAACGAUGUGGGAAGGCCCAGACAGCCAGGAUGUUGGCUUAGAAGCAGCCAUCAUUUAAAGAAAGCGUAAUAGCUCACUGGUCGAGUCGGCCUGCGCGGAAGAUGUAACGGGGCUAAACCAUGCACCGAAGCUGCGGCAGCGACACUAUGUGUUGUUGGGUAGGGGAGCGUUCUGUAAGCCUGUGAAGGUGGCCUGUGAGGGUUGCUGGAGGUAUCAGAAGUGCGAAUGCUGACAUAAGUAACGAUAAAGCGGGUGAAAAGCCCGCUCGCCGGAAGACCAAGGGUUCCUGUCCAACGUUAAUCGGGGCAGGGUGAGUCGACCCCUAAGGCGAGGCCGAAAGGCGUAGUCGAUGGGAAACAGGUUAAUAUUCCUGUACUUGGUGUUACUGCGAAGGGGGGACGGAGAAGGCUAUGUUGGCCGGGCGACGGUUGUCCCGGUUUAAGCGUGUAGGCUGGUUUUCCAGGCAAAUCCGGAAAACCAAGGCUGAGGCGUGAUGACGAGGCACUACGGUGCUGAAGCGACAAAUGCCCUGCUUCCAGGAAAAGCCUCUAAGCAUCAGGUAACAUCAAAUCGUACCCCAAACCGACACAGGUGGUCAGGUAGAGAAUACCAAGGCGCUUGAGAGAACUCGGGUGAAGGAACUAGGCAAAAUGGUGCCGUAACUUCGGGAGAAGGCACGCUGAUAUGUAGGUGAAGCGACUUGCUCGUGGAGCUGAAAUCAGUCGAAGAUACCAGCUGGCUGCAACUGUUUAUUAAAAACACAGCACUGUGCAAACACGAAAGUGGACGUAUACGGUGUGACGCCUGCCCGGUGCCGGAAGGUUAAUUGAUGGGGUUAGCGGCAACGCGAAGCUCUUGAUCGAAGCCCCGGUAAACGGCGGCCGUAACUAUAACGGUCCUAAGGUAGCGAAAUUCCUUGUCGGGUAAGUUCCGACCUGCACGAAUGGCGUAAUGAUGGCCAGGCUGUCUCCACCCGAGACUCAGUGAAAUUGAACUCGCUGUGAAGAUGCAGUGUACCCGCGGCAAGACGGAAAGACCCCGUGAACCUUUACUAUAGCUUGACACUGAACAUUGAGCCUUGAUGUGUAGGAUAGGUGGGAGGCUUUGAAGUGUGGACGCCAGUCUGCAUGGAGCCGACCUUGAAAUACCACCCUUUAAUGUUUGAUGUUCUAACGUUGGCCCGUAAUCCGGGUUGCGGACAGUGUCUGGUGGGUAGUUUGACUGGGGCGGUCUCCUCCUAAAGAGUAACGGAGGAGCACGAAGGUUGGCUAAUCCUGGUCGGACAUCAGGAGGUUAGUGCAAUGGCAUAAGCCAGCUUGACUGCGAGCGUGACGGCGCGAGCAGGUGCGAAAGCAGGUCAUAGUGAUCCGGUGGUUCUGAAUGGAAGGGCCAUCGCUCAACGGAUAAAAGGUACUCCGGGGAUAACAGGCUGAUACCGCCCAAGAGUUCAUAUCGACGGCGGUGUUUGGCACCUCGAUGUCGGCUCAUCACAUCCUGGGGCUGAAGUAGGUCCCAAGGGUAUGGCUGUUCGCCAUUUAAAGUGGUACGCGAGCUGGGUUUAGAACGUCGUGAGACAGUUCGGUCCCUAUCUGCCGUGGGCGAUGGAGAACUGAGGGGGGCUGCUCCUAGUACGAGAGGACCGGAGUGGACGCAUCACUGGUGUUCGGGUUGUCAUGCCAAUGGCACUGCCCGGUAGCUAAAUGCGGAAGAGAUAAGUGCUGAAAGCAUCUAAGCACGAAACUUGCCCCGAGAUGAGUUCUCCCUGAGACUUAGAGUCUCCUGAAGGAACGUUGAAGACGACGACGUUGAUAGGCCGGGUGUGUAAGCGCAGCGAUGCGUUGAGCUAACCGGUACUAAUGAACCGUGAGGCUUAACC
rnacentral:rRNA from 1 species